ensembl:lncRNA
AGUGCCCUUAUGAGAGUUACAAGAAAGCUUGCUUCCUCUCUCUGCUCUCUACCAUGUGAGGAUACAAUGAGAGGUCGGCAGUGUGCAACCGAGAAGAUGGCUCUCACCAGAACUUGACCAUGCCAGCACCCUGAUCUUGGACUUCCAGCCUCUAGAACUAUGAGAAAUAAAUUUCUAUCAGUUGUCAGCCACUCAGUCUACAACACUGUUAUAGCAGCCUGAAUAGACCAAGACAUUUGCUUUGCUGUUGCCUUAAAGCACUUGCUUAGUCUAUAGUUCAACCCUGGAUGGAUCAGAAAAAAGAUUCAUUGAAAUAAAAAGAUGUGGAUCUUAGAAAUGCUGUGGAUGGAGAAAAAGGAAAUAAACUCCCAAGGAGAAGCAACUAAAAGAUGUCAGCAACUCUUUUCUCAGACAGGAGUGCACAGCAGGGAGUUCUUUUUCUAUGCCUGUACCUGGCCAGGCAACUGCAUUAUACUUGAUGGAUACAUUUCGGACUCAUUAUUUCCUCUUUGGAACACUGGACUUUUUAUUCAUAUUGAAGGGCUCACAAUGGGCAAAGGUUAGAAAACAGGAAGGCUACUAGUAAUUGAAUGUUCCAUUUAGAACAUAGGCAGGUCAUAGGGGCUGAACGGCGGAAACAGACUUUCAUGCUGAGUCAACUUCCACAACCCAGGUGAAGUUGCUGCUGAGGGAUUUCUGAUCAGAUGAAACUAUUGGAGCUUUAGCUUUUAAAAGAUGCUGUUUCCAUUACAGUAAUGAUGAAUGUCUGAGAGAGUGAUGUCUGCAUAAAACGGAAAGAGCAAAUAGCAACAAAAGUCGUCAAGCCACUGUGGGUGCUUUAUGACACAGGCAGGACUGCUGGGCUGGGAUGUCCCAACUCCAAAUACAAACACCGAACAAGCAAAGAGCAGCCAGCAAAAACACACUGUGAACCUUCUUAUUACACAGAAAGAUACUAUAAGUUAAUUUCAAGGACGAAUACAACACAGAAAAAGGAAUAGAAAUAUUAGUAUAUAUAGACUCUCUGGAAUUGAGUAUAUAUUUCUGGGCUUUUAAAGUUUCCAAAUGUCCUUUUUCUAUUUAUUCAAGGAUUUAAACCACAGAAACAUGAACGUGGCUAUUUUUGUUGGUACUAAAUGAAAGGAUAUGUAAAUUGCAGUAAAAUCUUUUUACUUACAGUAAUGUAACAGUUCAAAAGUCCUAAUAAAAACAUAUCGUAUUUGCUCAUCCCACCAGCUUAGAAUGGUUUCUCUGUGCUAG